rnacentral:rRNA from 1 species
GGUGACCGGUCACAUUGGGACUGAGAUACGGCCCAGAUUCCUACGGGAGGCAGCAGUGGGGAAUUUUGCACAAUGGGCGAAAGCCUGAUGCAGCGACGCCGCCUGAGGGAUGACGGCCUUCGGGUUGUAAACCUCUUUCGCUCAUGGUCAAGGCUAGUUUUUGUUCUAGUUGAGGGUAGUGGGUAAAGAAGCGCCGGCUAACUACGUGCCAGCAGCCGCGGUAAUACGUAGGGCGCGAGCGUUGUCCGGAAUUAUUGGGCGUAAAGGGCUUGUAGGCGGCUUGUCGCGUCUGCCGUGAAAUCCUGGGGCUUAACCUUGGGCUUGCGGUGGGUACGGGCUGGCUUGAGUGCGGUAGGGGAGACUGGAAUUCCUGGUGUAGCGGUGGAAUGCGCAGAUAUCAGGAGGAACACCGGUGGCGAAGGCGGGUCUCUGGGCCGUUACUGACGCUGAGGAGCGAAAGCGUGGGGAGCGAACAGGAUUAGAUACCCUGGUAGUCCACGCUGUAAACGUUGGGCACUAGGUGUGGGGGCCACCCGUGGUUUCUGCGCCGUAGCUAACGCAUUAAGUGCCCCGCCUGGGGAGUACGGCCGCAAGGCUAAAACUCAAAGGAAUUGACGGGGGCCCGCACAAGCGGCGGAGCAUGCGGAUUAAUUCGAUGCAACGCGAAGAACCUUACCAAGGCUUGACAUGCACCGCGACACUGCAGAGAUGUGGUGGCCUUCGGGGUGGUGUGCAGGUGGUGCAUGGUUGUCGUCAGCUCGUGUCGUGAGAUGUUGGGUUAAGUCCCGCAACGAGCGCAACCCUUGCCCUAUGUUGCCAGCACGUGAUGGUGGGGACUCGUGGGGGACUGCCGGGGUUAACUCGGAGGAAGGUGGGGAUGACGUCAAAUCAUCAUGCCCCUUAUGUCUUGGGCUUCACGCAUGCUACAAUGGCUGGUACAGAGGGUUGCGAUACUGUGAGGUGGAGCGAAUCCCUUAAAGCCAGUCUCAGUUCGGAUUGGGGUCUGCAACUCGACCCCAUGAAGGUGGAGUCGCUAGUAAUCGCAGAUCAGCAACGCUGCGGUGAAUACGUUCUCGGGCCUUGUACACACCGCCCGUCACGUCACGAAAGUUGGUAACACCCGAAGCCCAUGGCCUAACCAUGUUUGG